GCCAGUGUGGUAUAGUGGUUUGAGCAUUAGACUAUGACUCUGAAGACCUAGGUUCAAAACCCUGCUCAGCCA